GCCCUCGUAGCGCAGCGGAAGCGCGCGGCCCUCCGAAGGCCGAGGUCAGAGGUUCGAAUCCUCUCGGGGGCG
rnacentral:tRNA from 1 species